AAUCACUUUCAACCACAACAUUUUUCCCCUCUGUUUUUUAAGGACACUUGGAGGAAGCACAUUCUGAAGAAAAGGCAUCUACUUUAACAAAGAAAAUUUGUGGCACAAAGAAACCCUCAUUGCCAUCAGUUCAAAACGUACACUCAGAGGAAGAACCUCCUGAAGAAGGGGCAGCUAUUUCUAAAAACAAAAUGGGUGGCAUUAAUAAAUCCUCAUUGCAAUCAAUUAAAAAAGGAAAAUCCAGAAGGCCCUGGUCAAAGACUGAGGGAGACAUUGUUGAAAGCCAUUUCAAAGACUUCCUGAAAGAAAUGAAGAUGCCUGGAAAAGUGCACUGUCAGAGAUGCAUAGAUGAAAAUCAGAUUCUAAGGGAUAAUGACAGAGACUGGAAAGCUGUAAAAUACUGUAUGUACAACAAGAUAACAGCAAAGAGAAACAGGCUCCAAAAGUACUGAGAAUUAUACUGGACAUUUUGAGCAUCAAUGCUAGGAACCCAAAAAACCUACAUGUAUACCAAAGUACACAGAUACAAUUAA